rnacentral:snRNA from 1 species
UUUGAAGCCUGGCUGGGGAAAUACCAAGAUUAAUAAGGUGGUUUUCCCCACACGGGACUCAGUCUUGGCACUCUGAGUCUGCUGACCUGCUGCAAUUCCCCUAAUGCCAGAAACAUAGCUCCGCAAUUUAUGAUAUUCAUGCAUCCAUGCUUUAAAGAA